rnacentral:tRNA from 1 species
AGCUCAGUGGUCGAGCGUUGGCUUUGGAGGUCACAGGUCGGUGGUUCGAACCCACC